ACGGAAGGCAGCAGUGGGGAAUAUUGCACAAUGGGGGAAACCCUGAUGUAGCGACGCCGCGUGAAGGAUGAAGUAUUUCGGUAUGUAAACUUCUAUCAGCAGGGAAGAAAAUGACGGUACCUGACUAAGAAGCCCCGGCUAACUACGUGCCAGCAGCCGCGGUAAUACGUAGGGGGCAAGCGUUAUCCGGAUUUACUGGUGUAAAGGGAGCGUAGACGGUAUGGCAAGUCUGAAGUGAAAACCCAGGGCUCAACCUUGGGACUGCUUUGGAAACUGUUAAACUAGAGUGUCGGAGAGGCAAGUGGAAUUCCUAGUGUAGCGGUGAAAUGCGUAGAUAUUAGGAGGAACACCAGUGGCGAAGGCGGCUUGCUGGACGAUGACUGACGUUGAGGCUCGAAAGCGUGGGGAGCAAACAGGAUUAGAUACCCUGGUA
rnacentral:rRNA from 1 species